CCACCCCAAAAUCCCACCUGAAAUCUCUUCUUUUUUUUUUACCCUUCAUUUUCCCAAUAUCGGUUCCCCCCUCCCCACUGAAAUCUCUUUUUUUUUUUUCCCAUUUUAUUUUUCCCAAACUGCUUCUCCCCUACCCCGAUUCCCUUUAUUUUCCCCCCAUUUUCCCCAAAUCGGCAGCCCUCUGCAUCUCCGUCAGCAGCCCUCUGCUACUUCUUCAUCGGUAGCCUGCUGCUGCAUCUUUGUAGGCAGCCUCCUUUUUUUGUUUUGCAUAUUUCUUUUAAAUAACCAGAAGCUGGGAGUUAACUUCAAAAUUCGAAGGGACAAAAAUGGUGUAAUUUUAUCCUUAACAAUGUUAUAGAAAAAGUUUUGUUAUAGACUCGUAGAAGGGAAAAAUACUUGGUAUUUGUUGUAGUUCGCUUUGUUCGCACCAUUCUCACUUGUCAUCAUCUCAAAAGUUUUGGGUGUGCUUUGCUCACCACAACACUAGUUGCUGGAAUCGACUCUACCAUCCAAUUUACAAUUUCUAAGAGACUUCAAGAACAACGAAAUGGAUAAGAGUUGGAUGAAUUUAUCAAGGGUAAGCAACGAUUAUCGAAAUGGAGUACAAAAUUUUCUAAAUUUUGCAUUUCAAAAUGCAAGCCAAGAGAAUAUGAUUCUUUGCCCGUGUAAGAAGUGUGGCAACAUCAAUUGGCAUUUUCGUAAAGUUGCCUACGAACAUCUAAUUGUUGAUGGCUUUAUUCGGGGGUAUAAAAAAUAGAUUUUCCAUGGAGAGUGUACACCUAAUAGAAUCUCUUUAACGAUUAAUCCAGCUUAUCCUUAUAGUGCUUACCAUCAGUCUGUUAGAGAAGAUGACAUGGAAGAAAAAAUACCUAGAAGAAGAUUACGAGAUCUAAAUAUUGUUCAGAAUACUUCAAAUUCGGAAGAAAUAAAUAGUGAACAACAGACUGAUAUUGGAUCUUCGAAUGUUCCAGAAACACCUGACGAGCCUGCAGAAAUUCAAAUUGAAAGUUGUGGGACAUGCAAAGGUCGAGGACGUAUGCUACUUAAAAAAUUAUACGAGUUAAAUCCUGUCGAGCGUGUCAAAGUAUUUAGAAACAAUCUUGGUCAGCCUGUUGGAUUAGAAGCUCGACUUUUAGCAGGAUAUUUGGGCAUUAUAGCACGAAAUGCCAAUAUGUUGUCUGUCAACUAUGAAUCAUGGCAUCAAAUGCCUGAUAGUAACAAAAAUCAAGCGCUCGAUAAUAUUAAGGAGAGAUUUGCUUUAGAGGUUUCGGAUACUUAUAUUAAGAAGGCAUUGGGAAAAAAAUGGAGAGAUCAUAAAAGCACUUUAAAGAAAGAAUAUUUUAAGAAAGAUAUAAGUCUCGAAGAGAAAUUACGAAAUGUCCCUCCGGGAAUGCUGAGAUACCAAUGGGAAGAUGUGGUUAAAUUUUGAAAUUCAAAGAAAGGAGAGGAUCGUGAGCGAGUUGGAACAAGUAGCAGACAAAAACAAAAAUUUACGCACACAGCAGGGUCGAAAAGUUUUGCUUGUGUAGCUGAGGCCGAGGAACUCUCGUCUGGUCAAAAAGUUAGACGCCUUCAGUUUUUUGACAUUACACAUAGGAAGAAAGAUGGAUCUCCAAUGACUUCUGAAGCUGGAGAAAUUAUGGAGAAACUAAAGGAUAAAAAGACACAGUAUGAAGCGAUUGCUUCGAGUGAUAGUUCUGUUAAUCUUGAGAACAUUGAUAACAGAAUUAUUACUGAAGUUUUAGGUCCUGAAAGGUAUGGUCGGGUUCGAUUUCAAGGAUCUGGUGUUAACCCAACUCAAUAUUUUGGAUCCAGCUCGCAACAAUUAAUGCUUUCGGGGAGUCAAGCUCAAGCUGAAGUUCAGAGGUUAAGAGACCAGAUGUCUCAGAUGCAAGCGAGUACAGUUGAGCAAAUUGCUCAACUUAAAGCAGAGGCAGCAGCGAGGGAAGCAGAGCAAAACAGAAAAUAUAACGAACUCCAACUACAGCUUCAAAAUAUGAUAAAGAUAUUUCAGCAGUCGCAGAAUCCACCAUCUUAGAUAUUUAUUUUCUUAUUGUAAGAAUAUUUUAACAAUAUAAUUUUUAAUAUUACUGUAAGAAUAUUUUGUUAUUUUAUUUAUUAAUUUAGAUAAUAUAUCUUUCGUUGUA